CCCAAUCCUAACAUUAACCAUUAGUGGGACAAUCAGGAAUCAGCUGCCCCUCCCCCAAUCCUAACAUUAACCAUUAGUGGGCCAAUCAGGAAUCAUCUGCCCCUCCCCCAAUCCUAACAUUAACCAAUCAGAAAUCAGCUGCCCCUCCCCCAAUCCUAACAUUACCCAUUAGUGGGACAAUCAGGAAUCAACCACCUACCUUCUGGUUUUCCAGCUUGGUUUCCACCUGACUGAGGUUGUCUUUCUCAGUUGGCUCAUAGUUUGGCACGCGGGACAGCCAGUUGUUCAGGUUGUCGUAGUCACUGCGGUAGUUACUGUACGACGUCUUAGCCCUCUGCAGGCUCACAGUUCUGUAACACACCACAACACAACAUGAACGUACCACACCACAACGUGAACGUAACACACCACACCACAACAUGAACGAACACACCACACCACGAACGUAACACACCACACCACAACAUGAACGUAACACACCACACCACAACAUGAACGUAACACACCACAACAUGAACAUAACACACCACACCACAUGAACGUAACACACCACACCACAACAUGAACGUAACACACCACACCACAACAUGAACGUAACACACCACACCACAACAUGAACGUAACACACCACAACAUGAACAUACCACACCACAACAUGAACGUAACACACCACACCACAACAUGAACGUAACACACCACAACAUGAACGUAACACACCACACCGUGAAGGUAACACACCACAACAUGAACGUACCACACCACACCGUGAAGGUAACACACCACACCACACCGUCAUGUGACGUCUAUUAUAGUAAAAUCACAAUCCAGGUCUGGCUAUGAUGAGUCUUGAUCUUGGCUUCAACUUUUUUUUUACCAGUAGUAAAGAGCAACGAACGCUCAAUCAGCCCUCUAACCUCACAAAUAUCAUUUAUGGAGGUCAAAGGUUACCACAUUCCAAUUCUCUACCCUUCUCCCUGAGGUGUGCACUUGUACACUUCCCUUUAUGGAUUUAAAAUUAUUGGACUGGUGUCAGAAAUAUGAUGGAAAUGGGAACUCCCCUCCAGUCAUACUUGUACCGAUCCAAUGGUUUUGAGUUCUGGAGAAGGGUGGAACAUCGGAACGCAGCCACAGGGUUCAACUGCACCUCAGAGACUCCUGCCUUAUGUACGGUACAGAGUCAUGGAACCACUUUAAUAACGGUUACAUACUGUUUUACCUACUUCAUGUCUAUAUACUGUAUUCUAGUCAUGGUUCAUUCUAUAUAACUACUGCUGUACACACUUUCUAAUUCAUAUACUGUCUAUACACACCAUCCUAUUAUAACUACUGUCUAUACACACCAUCCUAUAUAUAACUACUGUCUAUACACACCAUCCUAUAUAUAACUACUGUCUAUACACACCAUCCUAUAUAUAACUACUGUCUAUACUGUCUAUACACACCAUCCUAUAUAACUACUGUCUAUACUGUCUAUACACACCAUCCUAUAUAACUACUGUCUAUGCACACCAUCCUAUAUAACUACUGUCUAUACACACCAUCCUAUAUAACUACUGUCUAUACACACCAUCCUAU
ensembl:lncRNA